AUGAUUUUGGGUGUUGUCUUACAAAAGCGAAAGGUAAGAAUGUAAAAGUGGCGAGUUAUAUUGAAAGGCUAUUGUUACAGAUGAAUGAAUGAUGAUUACAUUAGAGUCAAAAUAAGCAUUUGAUGUUUCUUUUU